AAGAAGGGAAGAUUCAAAUCAAUCCGUCUCAGUCCUCAUAAUAGAUGUAUAGUUAUUUUUCAAGGUCCUCUGAUGACCUUCUGUCACUGUCAUCCUCAACUUCACCACGAGUCAGGUCCAUGUUGCCCAAUGUCCACACACACCUAACUCACAGGAACGCUGAUACUAAGUGGGUCCCGGACACACAGACCUCAGAGACACAGGCCUCCUGCUGAUCAACACUGGGCUUCAUGUAUAGGAGAGAUGAUGAGGUAUCGGGUCGCAGGGGCAGCAGCUCCAGCAGGGGACCCCAA